rnacentral:rRNA from 1 species
GUUUUUCGCUUGAGGAUGAGCCCGUAUGAGAUUAGCUAGUUGGUAAGGUAAUGGCUUACCAAGGCUACGAUCUCUAACUGGUCUUAGAGGAUGAUCAGUCACACUGGAACUGAGACACGGUCCAGACUCCUACGGGAGGCAGCAGUAGGGAAUAUUGCACAAUGGGGGAAACCCUGAUGCAGCGACGCCGCGUGAGUGAUGAAGGCCUUUGGGUCGUAAAGCUCUGUCGUACGGGAAUAACAAAAUG